CUCUGGGCGCGUGGGACUGAGAACUCCUCCGCCGUGGGGAAGAUUUUUUUCCCAGCAGAUGUUGGGGUGUUACUGCGUGUCUGAGGGGCCGGCGGAAUGGAGGGGUCCCGGUUCGUGCGGGGCAGCGAGGUGUGUCAGAUGAGCUGUGGAUCCCUGCGGCCCCACGUGGGCCGGAGAGGGGGGCCCACGACAACAAGCGAUUGAGGACAGCGAUGGACAGGGCGGGGAACCAGCUGGGUGGAAGCACAGGGAAAGUGUGGUGAGGAGGGAAGGGCUGUGAUCUGCCCUCGGUACGACGCCCCAAGGGACAGCCUGGCCUCCUGAAUUAGGGAAAAGACAACCCGUCUCUUUAGACUGGGGCGCCUCAGAGUCUGACCUGAGUCUUCAAACGCCCAGAUCCCCUGGGGCCUUGAGUCUCCCUUUCCCGCUGGCCCUGCCUCGCCUGCGCUUCAAGACUCCGACGCCCCCGCAGCCUUGGGCUAAGGGUCAGUCGUCCCCGGGCGCGGGUCCGGCUGCCCUGGAACUGAUGCUGGAUUUCGCUGGGUUAUAAGAUGAGCAGUACAAUAGAGGAUGGACUGGAGUUGGAAAAGACUAAAGCAGCAAGUUUGAUAAGGAGGCUACAGCAAUAGUCCAGGUGAAAGACGCAAGAGCCCAAAAUGCGGCAGUGGCCAAGGGAAUGGAUCUGAGAUAAAGUUCAGAAGAUAGAGUUGGCAGGGCAGGUGAGUUUAUCUUUAAUCCAGGAGAAGAGAAGAAGGCCACAUGAAGAUGGAGCAAGAGAUUGGAGUGAUGUGGCCACAAGCCAAGGAAGCUGACGAAUGAAGACAGCUGUCAGAAGCUGGAAGAGGAAAAGGAUUCUCUCUUGGGGUCUCCAGAGGGAGAACAGCCCUGCCAACACUUCCAUUUCCAAUGUCUGGACUCUAGAACUGUGAGAAAAUAAAUUCCCAUUAUUUUAAGGAACACAGUUUGUGAUACUGCAUUACAGCAGCUCCAUGAAACAAAUACAUUUUGUUAUUCCAAGUCCUCUUCACAACAAAGUCUUUGCUAGUGGUGAACCAAACACAGUCCCACCAUCAUGAGCCCCUGUUCUGGAUGAGGGGGCAACACAGUUCAGACACUGGUCAUCUCUAUUUAAUGUCUAAUGGGCAUCUCAAACCUAACUUUCUCCCAGUGGAAAUGCCUGGAGGUAUGUGGAGAUGGAAAGCUGACCUAGCCAAGGAGUUCAGCAAAGAUCCCUGGGAGGAGGUGACAUCUGGACAUCUGCACAGAAUAAUGAGGCUGGGCUAAGGCAGUGACUGAGGGAGGC
rnacentral:lncRNA from 1 species